rnacentral:rRNA from 1 species
UACAGAGGGUGCAAGCGUUAAUCGGAAUUACUGGGCGUAAAGCGUGCGUAGACGGUUACAUAAGUCGGGUGUGAAAGCCCCGGGCUCAACCUGGGAAUUGCAUUCGAGACUGCGUAGCUAGGGUGCGGAAGAGGGAAGCGGAAUUUCCGGUGUAGCGGUGAAAUGCGUAGAUAUCGGAAGGAACACCAGUGGCGAAAGCGGCUUCCUGGUCCAGCACCGACGUUCAGGCACGAAAGCG